CAUGGGCAGGUUUAUAGGGGAGUUUUUACCAUUUUGGAUCAAAAAAAUAAAUCAAAACAAAAGAAAAAAUUUAAGAGAGCCCCUUAUAUAGUAUACCGAUUUCUGAUCUAAGAGACAAUACGUGUCACUUAUUUGUUGGCUAAAAAAAAUAUCUACUGAUUAAUUUUCUACUUCCUUUCCAUCUCUCUGUCUCUCUCGAUCGAAGUCGAAUUGGCAAUGGAAGAAGAUGGAAUCAAAGAAGAUAGAAUCAGAGGACAAUCGGGUCGGAGGAGAUGCGACGGAGAUUGAAUCGGCGGAGGCUAAUCGGAGGGUUUUGAAUCGAGGAGAAUGUUGUCGAGAUUGUUCAAAGCUGGUGAAAAGGUUUUGUUGAAGCUCCUUCUCCUGCUUCCAUGGCUGUCCAAAAACUAUGCUCUGUCUUGGGAGAAGACAACAUCAAGACUGAUGAACCCAAGCAAGAACAAGCUAAGCCUGCUGAAGCCACUGAGAUAAUUCACCUUAAUAUGAAGUGUAUGAAUUGUCUUUGUUGGAUCAAAGCUCAAUGUUGUUUUGGUUGUUUGUUUUUUCAGAACUGAUCAAAGGGCUUGGAAGUUGAAUGAGAUUGAUUCGAUGCCCUGAUGGAAGAAGAUAAAUGAAACAAAAAUCUCUUCUUCUUGCUCUGUCAUGGUUAUUCCUUAUCAAAGAAACUCUGAGGCAAGGGAAGAAGAGUAUGAUCGAUGGUGAGCAACGUAAUGGAUCCAUUCUGAAAAGCAUUGGAAGAGUUGAGACCAAGAAAGACGAGUGUUUGGUCCAUGAAGACGGAGAAAAGCAGAGACGCAAUGAGAAGUUGUGCAGAGAAGUUAAGAAGGAAGAAGAAACUUGAUGAAAUAUUGAAAAAGAGAAAGCUUGUAGUAAAGGAGAUAAAACUGAAGCUUGAGUCACGAAUUGCUGAGACGGAGAAGACUUCGGCCAUGAUUGUCUUUUGCUCUUUUGCACUUUUGCAUUUUGCAUUUGGAGAAACAGCAAUAUCUUUUGAUUAAGUUUCAAUUUAAGUCUUUUUAUUUGUCAGUCUAUUAGGAAACAAAACAGCAAUGUCUCACACAUAUAAAAUCUGAAAUGCAAUAAUUUCCCUUUCUUAUUAAA